AUUAGGUAGAUGGCGGGGUAACGGCCCACCAUGCCUACGAUGUCUAGGGGUUCUGAGAGGAAGGUCCCCCACACUGGAACUGAGACACGGUCCAGACUCCUACGGGAGGCAGCAGUGAGGAAUAUUGGUCAAUGGUCGGAAGACUGAACCAGCCAAGUAGCGUGAAGGAUGAAGGUUCUAUGGAUUGUAAACUUCUUUUAUACGGGAAUAAAACCACCUACGUGUAGGUGCUUGUAUGUACCGUAUGAAUAAGCAUCGGCUAACUCCGUGCCAGCAGCCGCGGUAAUACGGAGGAUGCGAGCGUUAUCCGGAUUUAUUGGGUUUAAAGGGAGCGUAGACGGGAGAUUAAGUCAGUUGUGAAAGGCUGCGGCUCAACCGCAGCACUGCAGUUGAUACUGGUUUCCUUGAGUGCGGUUGAGGUAUGUGGAAUUCGUGGUGUAGCGGUGAAAUGCUUAGAUAUCACGAAGAACUCCUAUUGCGAAGGCAGCAUACUAAGCCGCUACUGACGUUGAGGCUCGAAAGUGUGGGUAUCAAACAGGAUUAGAUACCCUGGUAGUCCACACGGUAAACGAUGAAUACUCGCUGUUGGCGAUAUAUUGUCAGCGGCCAAGCGAAAGCAUUAAGUAUUCCACCUGGGGAGUACGCCGGCAACGGUGAAACUCAAAGGAAUUGACGGGGGCCCGCACAAGCGGAGGAACAUGUGGUUUAAUUCGAUGAUACGCGAGGAACCUUACCCGGGCUUAAAUUGCGUUGGACAGAUUGGGAGACCAAUCCUUCUUCGGACCAGCGUGAAGGUGCUGCAUGGUUGUCGUCAGCUCGUGCCGUGAGGUGUCGGCUUAAGUGCCAUAACGAGCGCAACCCUUGCCAAUAGUUACCAUCAGGUCAUGCUGGGGACUCUAUUGGGACUGCCAUCGUAAGAUGUGAGGAAGGUGGGGAUGACGUCAAAUCAGCACGGCCCUUACGUCCGGGGCUACACACGUGUUACAAUGGGAGGUACAGAAGGCUGCUACCCGGCGACGGGAUGCCAAUCCCCAAAACCUCUCUCAGUUCG
rnacentral:rRNA from 1 species